UGGGGAAUAUUGCGCAAUGGGCGAAAGCCUGACGCAGCGACGCCGCGUGGAGGAUGAAGGUCUUAGGAUUGUAAACUCCUGUCAGAUGGGAAGAAAAUAUCAUAUUUAAUAGAUGUGAGGAAUGACGGUACCAUCAGAGGAAGCACCGGCUAACUUCGUGCCAGCAGCCGCGGUAAUACGAAGGGUGCAAACGUUAUUCGGAAUCACUGGGCGUAAAGGGUGCGUAGACGGUAUGUUAAGUUCGUCGUUAAAGGCUCCGGCCUAACCGGAGUACCGCGAUGAAAACUGGCGUGCUAGAGGGUGAGAGAGAGAAGUGGAAUUCCUGGAGUAGCGGUAAAAUGCGUGGAUCUCAGGAGGAACACCAAUGGCGAAGGCAGCUUCUUGGCUCAUUCCUGACGUUGAGGCACGAAAGCGUGGGGAGCAAACAGG
rnacentral:rRNA from 1 species